CAGCCGCCACGGGAAUACAGAGGGUGCGAGCGUUAAUCGGAUUUACUGGGCAUAAAGCGUGCGUAGGCGGCUUCUUAAGUCGGAUGUGAAAUCCCUGAGCUUAACUUAGGAAUUGCAUUCGAUACUGGGAAGCUAGAGUAUGGGAGAGGAUGGUAGAAUUCCAGGUGUAGCGGUGAAAUGCGUAGAGAUCUGGAGGAAUACCGAUGGCGAAGGCAGCCAUCUGGCCUAAUACUGACGCUGAGGUACGAAAGCAUGGGGAGCAAACAGGAUUAGAUACCCCCGUAGUCCCUGUCUCUUAUAC
rnacentral:rRNA from 1 species